GUAAAGACAAAAAUAAACUUUAUGUCCAAGAAGAUAAACAACUAAAGGCAUUGGCUGAAGAAAAAAAGAUUGUUCAGAUGCUGCACAAAGAUAUUUCUAAGCUCGAGAAUGAAAUCAAAACCAUCAAUGUUACUUUUGUCACCUCAUUCCUUUCUUAUAAUAUCUCAGCCUCAAAGAUACUCAGACAGGAACCAGAAAGAUUUUUGAAACUGUUAAAGACUUGAUUUUUAUUUAAUAAACUCACGCGUUG